CUCUUCGGGGAUGAUUAAACCGGCGCACGGGUGAGUAACACGUGAGUGACCUGCCUUUUAGACUGGAACAACUUACCGAAAGGUGAGCUAAUGCCGGAUGAGUUAUAUAAGUGCAUGUUUAUAUAGGAAAAGUUGGGGAGACCUGACGCUGAAAGAUGGACUCGCGUCCCAUUAGCUAGUUGGUAGGGUAAUGGCCUACCAAGGCGACGAUGGGUAGCCGGCCUGAGAGGGUGGCCGGCCACACUGGGACUGAGACACGGCCCAGACUCCUACGGGAGGCAGCAGUGGGGAAUUUUGCGCAAUGCUCGUAAGAGUGACGCAGCGACGCCGCGUGAAUGACGAAGGCCUUCGGGUCGUAAAGUUCUUUCGACAGGGAAGAAAAUGCCUAUAAGUAACUGUGUAUGUAUUGACGGUACCUGUAUAAGCAGCCCCGGCUAACUCCGUGCCAGCAGCCGCGGUAAUACGGAGGGGGCGAGCGUUGUUCGGAGUGACUGGGCGUAAAGAGCACGUAGGCGGUGUUGUAAGUCAUUAGUCAAAGACUAGAGCUCAACUUUAGUAAGGCUAGUGAUACUAUAAUACUAGAGUAUCAGAGAGGAUUGCAGAAUUCCUGGUGUAGCGGUGAAAUGCGUAGAUAUCAGGAGGAAUACCGUUAGCGAAGGCGGCAAUCUGGCUGGAAACUGACGCUGAGGUGCGAAAGCGUGGGUAGCAAACAGGAUUAGAUACCCUGGUAGUCCACGCUGUAAACGAUGGAUGCUAGGUGUUGGGCUUUUAAGUUCAGUGCCGCAACAAACGCGAUAAGCAUCCCGCCUGGGGAG
rnacentral:rRNA from 1 species